GCCAUUGAUACAAACGAAGAUACAGAUGAUGAUAAUCUUUCCAAGCGAAAAUGUCGAACAGCUUUACCAUAUUUUAUGAGUGAUUCUGAUGAUUUGGAUAAUGAUGUUGCUUCCAAUCAACCAAAAGGCCUAAAUUGGUUUGCAGCAGUGAUGAAGAGCAAGAGACCGUAGUCGACAAGUUUCCAUUACUUCCACCAUCACUACAAAAAUGUUCUUUACUUUAUCUUUAUUUAAAAUUUAUACUUAUAAACUUUUUUUUUUGUUGUGUAGUCAACACUGUUAUAUACAUUUUUCUUCUUUGAGACAAAUUUUUUAGACUUUGGUAUAGCAAAUAAUACUCUUUAAAACACUGAACUUAAAUUUAGUAAGAUCAAUGAGUAUUAUUUGUUAUGCUAACAAAGAUUUUUGCAGGACUUUACAAUAUACAUCUAAAGUAUAUCAGAUAUGUUUUAAUUAGUUUAUUUUUGCAGAUAUUUUAAAGUGUAGUUUUUUAUCAUUAAAUUUAAGUUUAUUUCUUUUUGAAGUGCCUUCAAAUCUGAAUUUGAUUGAUAAAAAGAAGCGAAGAAUCGAUAUGGAGAUUGAUCCAGUAUCGCAAACUAAAGUACCAUCGUCUCAAUCUUAUCUCCUGCAGCAUAACACAAGCAAUAGUUGCAGCAGUAAAUCUUUGGAUGACAUAGAUAGUACACCCACUGUAUCACAAGAUGGUGGCAGUUUUAGCUCGUGCUUGUGGCAUCCACCCUAAAAAAAGUAUCUAUGAAGCAAUGAAUAAACUUUUAACUAAAGAUGUUGCUUCGAAAUAUAAUAUAACGGGCACUGCCCAGAAGAGUAAAUUUUGCACGGAAUUCAAAAAUAUUUGUUCAGC